rnacentral:lncRNA from 1 species
UCACCUUAAGGUCCCUGAUGAUGACCGUACCUCUUCGCCUCCUUCUGGUUAUACCGCUCUUUACUCGGGUUUCGAGGACCUAGGGCUUCGGCUUCCCGCUUCCGCCUUUCUUUUGUCCUUUCUUUCGUACACUGGCAUUGCUAUCUCCCAUCUUUCUCCUUCUAGUCUUGAUCGAGUUGUUUCGUUCGAGUGCUUGUGUCUUGAGAUGCAUGUUGAGCCCUACGAACGAGUAUUCCAAAUAUUUUUCUCUGUCUCACAACCUAAUGCCGCACGGCUUUUGUUUCCUCCCGAAUAAAAUGCAAGAUUUUGGGUUCCUACCCCGACCGUUCACAUAGGUGGAAAAAUCGUUACUUCUUUGUAAAGGCCAGUGCGGUGUUGUUGUCGGGCGUCCCUUCUGGAUGGAUAAAUACCUCUUCUUUUGACGCUCGGCCACUUUCCGUAGGGGAACUUUCUCCGGAGGAAUGUGAGGCGUAUACUUGUCUAUCAUUUGUCAGUGCGAAUCCCCUUGAUU